rnacentral:rRNA from 1 species
CUACGGGGUGCAGCAGUGAGGAAUAUUGCACAAUGGGGGAAACCCUGAUGCAGCAACGCCGCGUGGAGGAUGACGCAUUUCGGUGUGUAAACUCCUUUUAUAUGUCAAGAAAAUGACGGUAGCAUAUGAAUAAGCACCGGCCAACUCCGUGCCAGCAGCCGCGGUGAAUACGGAGGGUGCAAGCGUUACUCGGAAUCACUGGGCGUAAAGGACGCGUAGGCUGGUUGGUAAGUCAGGUGUGAAAUCCUACAGCUUAACUGUAGAACUGCACUUGAAACUACCAACCUAGAGUAUGGGAGGGGGGGAUGGAAUUAGUGGUGUAGGGGUAAAAUCCGUAGAUAUCACUAGGAAUACCGAAAGCGAAGGCGAUCUCCUGGAACAUAACUGACGCUAAGGCGUGAAAGCGUGGGGAGCAAACAGGAUUAGAUACCCCGGUAGUC